GAUGAACGCUGGCGGCGUGCCUAAUACAUGCAAGUCGAGCGAACAGACGAGGAGCUUGCUCCUCUGACGUUAGCGGCGGACGGGUGAGUAACACGUGGAUAACCUACCUAUAAGACUGGGAUAACUUCGGGAAACCGGAGCUAAUACCGGAUAAUAUAUUGAACCGCAUGGUUCAAUAGUGAAAGACGGUUUUGCUGUCACUUAUAGAUGGAUCCGCGCCGCAUUAGCUAGUUGGUAAGGUAACGGCUUACCAAGGCAACGAUGCGUAACCGACCUGAGAGGGUGAUCGGCCACACUGGAACUGAGACACGGUCCAGACUCCUACGGGAGGCAGCAGUAGGGAAUCUUCCGCAAUGGGCGAAAGCCUGACGGAGCAACGCCGCGUGAGUGAUGAAGGUCUUCGGAUCGUAAAACUCUGUUAUUAGGGAAGAACAGAUGUGUAAGUAACUAUGCACGUCUUGACGGUACCUAAUCAGAAAGCCACGGCUAACUACGUG
rnacentral:rRNA from 1 species